rnacentral:rRNA from 1 species
GGAUGAACGCUAGCGACAGGCCUAACACAUGCAAGUCGAGGGGCAGCACGGUGUAGCAAUACACGGGUGGCGACCGGCGCACGGGUGAGUAACGCGUAUGCAACCUGCCUACUACAAGGGGAUAACCCGUUGAAAGACGGACUAAUACCCUAUAACACAGGGAAUCCGCAUGGAUAUAUUUGUUAAAGAUUUAUCGGUAGUAGAUGGGCAUGCGUUCCAUUAGCUUGUUGGUGAGGUAACGGCUCACCAAGGCAACGAUGGAUAGGGGAACUGAGAGGUUGAUCCCCCACACUGGAACUGAGACACGGUCCAGACUCCUACGGGAGGCAGCAGUUGGGAAUCUUAGGCAAUGGGCGAAAGCCUGACCUAGCGACGCCGCGUGAGGGAAGAAGGCCUUCGGGUCGUAAACCUCUGUCAUGGGGGACGAAGGAAGUGACGGUACCCCAAGAGGAAGCCCCGGCUAACUACGUGCCAGCAGCCGCGGUAACACGUAGGGGGCAAGCGUUGUCCGGAUUUAUUGGGCGUAAAGAGCUCGUAGGUGGCUAAGUAAGUCGGGUGUCAAAUCCCCAGGCUCAACCUGGGUCUCCACCCGAUACUGCUUUGGCUAGAGUCCGGUAGGGGAGCGUGGAAUUCCUGGUGUAGCGGUGAAAUGCGCAGAUAUCAGGAGGAACACCAGCGGCGAAGGCGGCGCUCUGGGCCGGUACUGACACUGAGGAGCGAAAGCGUGGGUAGCAAACAGGAUUAGAUACCCUGGUAGUCCACGCCGUAAACGUUGGGCACUAGGUGUGGGGUCUAUUCAACGGACUCCGUGCCGUCGCUAACGCAUUAAGUGCCCCGCCUGGGGAGUACGGCCGCAAGGCUAAAACUCAAAGGAAUUGACGGGGGCCCGCACAAGCAGCGGAGCAUGUUGCUUAAUUCGAGGCAACGCGAAGAACCUUACCUGGGUUUGACAUGUAGAGAAAAGCCACAGAGAUGUGGUGUCCUUCGGGGUUCUACACAGGUGGUGCAUGGUUGUCGUCAGCUCGUGUCGUGAGAUGUUGGGUUAAGUCCCGCAACGAGCGCAACCCUUGUCCUAUGUUGCCAGCACGUAAUGGUGGGGACUCGUAGGAGACUGCCGGGGUCAACUCGGAGGAAGGUGGGGAUGACGUCAAAUCAUCAUGCCCCUUAUAUCCAGGGCUGCAAACAUGCUACAAUGGCCGGUACAAAGGGCUGCUAAACCGCGAGGUGGAGCGAAUCCCAUAAAGCCGGUCUCAGUUCGGAUUGGAGUCUGCAACUCGACUCCAUGAAGCUGGAGUUGCUAGUAAUCCCGGAUCAGCAACGCCGGGGUGAAUACGUUCCCGGGCCU